rnacentral:ribozyme from 1 species
UGCCCAGUAACUCCUAUCAAUACCUCUGCGUGGUAUCGGCUGGAAACUACGAACAACCUAAGAGAAGAUCGGGUAGCCAACCGCGGUGGUAACUUUAGCCGUAGUCUGGCAUGGAAGG